rnacentral:misc_RNA from 1 species
GAUGAAGAACGUAGUGAAAUGCGAUACGUAAUGUGAAUUGCAGAAUUCAGUGAAUCAUCGAAUCUUUGAACGCAUAUUGCGCUCUCUGGUAUUCCGGAGAGCAUGCUUGUUUGAGUAUCAGUAAACACCUCAACUUCCAUAUCUUUUUUGAAAUGGGAGUUGGACUUGAGUGAUCCCAACGCUUUUCCUAACCGAAAAGUGGCGGGUUACUUGAAAUGCAGGUGCAGCUGGACUUUUCUCUGAGCUAUAAGCAUAUCUAUUUAGUCUGCCUAAAAAACAGAUUAUUACCUUUGCUGCAGCUAACAUAAAGGAGAUUAGUUCUUGUGCUGACUGAUGCAGGAUUCACAAAGACGGCUUCGGCCGACUUUGUAAACUCGAUCUCAAAUCAAGUAAGACUACCCGCUGAACUUAAGCAUAUCAAUAAGCGGAGGA